CAUGUUUGUAUUUUAAUUGACAUAACACGGAAUUAAAUUAUGUAUGAUAAUGUUAAUUUAGUAUAUAGCACCGUUAAAUGACUGACCAUGUUAUAACACGGAUGAAAGUACAGAACAGUAAAUGGGCUAUGUCGCAGAUUUUUCUAAAAUUUUGCAUACAACCUUGGCUCGGUAAACUACAACUCAAAAUCGAAAAAAAUAAUGCCUUUAUAACUUU
rnacentral:lncRNA from 1 species